rnacentral:rRNA from 1 species
CGCUGGCGGCGUGCCUAAUACAUGCAAGUCCGAACGCACUCUCGUUUAGAUUGAAGGAGCUUGCUCCUGAUUGAUAAACAUUUGAGUGAGUGGCGGACGGGUGAGUAACACGUGGGUAACCUGCCCUAAAGUGGGGGAUAACAUUUGGAAACAGAUGCUAAUACCGCAUAAAACCUAACACCGCAUGGUGUAGGGUUGAAAGAUGGUUUCGGCUAUCACUUUAGGAUGGACCCGCGGUGCAUUAGUUAGUUGGUGAGGUAAAGGCUCACCAAGACCGUGAUGCAUAGCCGACCUGAGAGGGUAAUCGGCCACACUGGGACUGAGACACGGCCCAGACUCCUACGGGAGGCAGCAGUAGGGAAUCUUCCACAAUGGACGAAAGUCUGAUGGAGCAACGCCGCGUGAGUGAAGAAGGUUUUCGGAUCGUAAAACUCUGUUGUUGGAGAAGAAUGUAUCUGAUAGUAACUGAUCAGGUAGUGACGGUAUCCAACCAGAAAGCCACGGCUAACUACGUG